AGCAGUAGCCGCGGUAAUACGUAGGGUGCGAGCGUUAAUCGGAAUUACUGGGCGUAAAGCGUGCGCAGGCAGUUAUAUAAGACAGAUGUGAAAUCCCCGGGCUCAACCUGGGACCUGCAUUUGUGACUGUACAGCUAGAGUACGGUAGAGGGGGAUGGAAUUCCGCGUGUAGCAGUGAAAUGCGUAGAUAUGCGGAGGAACACCGAUGGCGAAGGCAAUCCCCUGGACAUGUACUGACGCUCAUGCACGAAAGCGUGGGGAGCAAACAGGAUUAGAUACCCCAGUAGUCCCUGUCUCUUAUAC
rnacentral:rRNA from 1 species